CCUACGGGUGGCAGCAGUGAGGAAUAUUGGUCAAUGGACGAGAGUCUGAACCAGCCAAGUAGCGUGAAGGAUGACUGCCCUAUGGGUUGUAAACUUCUUUUAUAUGGGAAUAAAACGUUCCACGUGUGGGAUUUUGUAUGUACCAUAUGAAUAAGGAUCGGCUAAAUCCGUGCCAGCAGCCGCGGUAAUACGGAGGAUCCGAGCGUUAUCCGGAUUUAUUGGGUUUAAAGGGAGCGUAGGUGGAUUGUUAAGUCAGUUGUGAAAGUUUGCGGCUCAACCUUAAAAUUGCAGUUGAAACUGGCAGUCUUGAGUACAGUAGAGGUGAGCGGAAUUCGUGGUGUAGCGGUGAAAUGCUUAGAUAUCACGAAGAACUCCGAUUGCGAAGGCAGUUCACUGGACUGCAACUGACACUGAGGCUCGAAAGUGUGGGUAUCAAACAGGAUUAGAUACCCGGGUAGUC
rnacentral:rRNA from 1 species